rnacentral:rRNA from 1 species
CCUACGGGGGGCAGCAGUGGGGAAUAUUGGACAAUGGGGGGAACCCUGAUCCAGCCAUGCCGCGUGUGUGAAGAAGGCCCUCGGGUUGUAAAGCACUUUCAGUGAGGAAGAACGCCUGGUGGUUAAUACCCAUCAGGAAGGACAUCACUCACAGAAGAAGCACCGGCUAACUCCGUGCCAGCAGCCGCGGUAAUACGGAGGGUGCGAGCGUUAAUCGGAAUUACUGGGCGUAAAGCGCGCGUAGGUGGCUUGAUAAGCCGGUUGUGAAAGCCCCGGGCUCAACCUGGGAACGGCAUCCGGAACUGUCAAGCUAGAGUGCAGGAGAGGAAGGUAGAAUUCCCGGUGUAGCGGUGAAAUGCGUAGAGAUCGGGAGGAAUACCAGUGGCGAAGGCGGCCUUCUGGACUGACACUGACACUGAGGUGCGAAAGCGUGGGUAGCAAACAGGAUUAGAUACCCUGGUAGUC